UUGAAAGGGAAACGAUUGAAGUCAGUCGUACCUUUGAGUAAUCAGCCUUUUGGGUGUGAUUUUGUGGAGUGUGGGGAGUUAAACGCCUUCAUGCCUGCAUAUUCGUGCACUUUGGGUGUAUUUGCCCGUGUGGUAAGUUAACAUCAAUUUUGGUGGUCAUAAAAUGGCUGGAGGAAUGUAGCUUCGAUCUCGUAUUGAAGUGUUAUAGCCUUCGGUAGAUGUGAUUAUCGGGAUUGAGGAUUGCAACGGAUACCCUUCGGGGCUACCUGUCUGAUCUCUGAUCGUUGCUCUGGUGCCGAAAGCUUGCUUACGGUUAUCAAAGUCGAUGGUCAAUAGGUUAGAACGGGUUAAAUUCGUUAAGGAUGUUGACGUA
rnacentral:rRNA from 1 species